GGCCGUGUGGCGAAAUGGCAUCGCGUCUGACUACGAUACAGUGUAUCAGGAGAUUGCAGGUUCGACCCCUGUCUCGGUCA